AGCGAACGCUGGCGGCAGGCCCAACACAUGCAAGUCGAACGGAUCCUUCGGGAUUAGUGGCGGACGGGUGAGUAACACGUGGGAACGUGCCCUUUGGUUCGGAACAACUCAGGGAAACUUGAGCUAAUACCGGAUGUGCCCUUCGGGGGAAAGAUUUAUCGCCAUUGGAGCGGCCCGCGUCUGAUUAGCUAGUUGGUGAGGUAACGGCCCACCAAGGCGACGAUCAGUAGCUGGUCUGAGAGGAUGAUCAGCCACACUGGGACUGAGACACGGCCCAGACUCCUACGGGAGGCAGCAGUGGGGAAUCUUGCGCAAUGGGCGAAAGCCUGACGCAGCCAUGCCGCGUGAAUGAUGAAGGUCUUAGGAUUGUAAAAUUCUUUCAGCGGGGACGAUAAUGACGGUACCCGCAGAAGAAGCUCCGGCUAACUUCGUG
rnacentral:rRNA from 1 species